UUUCAGAGUCCGAGUUGUAAUUUGAAGAAGGUAUCUUUGGGUCUGGCUCUUGUCUAUGUUUCUUGGAACAGAACGUCACAGAGGGUGAGAAUCCCGUGCGAUGAGAUGAUCCAGGCCUAUGUAAAGUUCCUUCGAAGAGUCGAGUUGUUUGGGAAUGCAGCUCUAAGUGGGUGGUAAAUUCCAUCUAAAGCUAAAUAUUGGCGAGAGACCGAUAGCGAACAAGUACAGUGAUGGAAAGAUGAAAAGAACUUUGAAAAGAGAGUGAAAAAGUACGUGAAAUUGUUGAAAGGGAAGGGCUUGAGAUCAGACUUGGUAUUUUGUAUGUUACUUCUUCGGGGGUGGCCUCUACAGUUUAUCGGGCCAGCAUCAGUUUGGGCGGUAGGAGAAUUGCGUUGGAAUGUGGCACGGCCUCGGUUGUGUGUUAUAGCCUUCGUCGAUACUGCCAGCCUAGACUGAGGACUGCGGUUUAUACCUAGGAUG
rnacentral:rRNA from 1 species